UACCAGCACCCCGAGUGGUUGGGACGAUUAUUGGGCCUAAAGCAUCCGUAGCCGGUCCUACAAGUCUUCCGUUAAAUCCACCUGCUUAACAGAUGGGCUGCGGAAGAUACUAUAGGGCUAGGAGGCGGGAGAGGCAAGCGGUACUCAGUGGGUAGGGGUAAAAUCCUCUGAUCCAUUGAAGACCACCAGUGGCGAAGGCGGCUUGCCAGAACGCGCUCGACGGUGAGGGAUGAAAGCUGGGGGGGCAAACCGG
rnacentral:rRNA from 1 species